GUAGGUGGCAAGCGUUAUCCGGAAUGAUUGGGCGUAAAGGGUGAGCAGGCGGUUCUUCAAGUCAUGAGUGAAAGGCAGAAGCUUAACUUCUGUUGGCUGAUGAGACUGGAGAACUUGAGUACAGGAGAGGGCGGCGGAACUCCAUGUGUAGCGGUAAAAUGCGUAGAGAUAUGGAGGAACACCAGUGGCGAAGGCGGCCGCCUGGACUGAAACUGACGCUCAGGCACGAAAGCGUGGGGAGCAAAUAGGAUUAGAUACCCUAGUAGUCCACGCCGUAAACGAUGAGGAGCAGGUGUCGCAAUGAAAUGCGGUGCCGAAGCCAACGCAAUGACUCCUCCGCCUGGGGAGUAUGCACGCAAGUGUG
rnacentral:rRNA from 1 species